rnacentral:rRNA from 1 species
AUUGAACGCUGGCGGCAGGCCUAACACAUGCAAGUCGAACGGUAACAGAAAGCAGCUUGCUGCUUUGCUGACGAGUGGCGGACGGGUGAGUAAUGUCUGGGAAACUGCCUGAUGGAGGGGGAUAACUACUGGAAACGGUAGCUAAUACCGCAUAACGUCGCAAGACCAAAGAGGGGGACCUUCGGGCCUCUUGCCAUCGAAUGUGCCCAGAUGGGAUUAGCUAGUAGGUGGGGUAAAGGCUCACCUAGGCGACAAUCCCUAGCUGGUCUGAGAGGAUGACCAGCCACACUGGAACUGAGACACGGUCCAGACUCCUACGGGAGGCAGCAGUGGGGAAUAUUGCACAAUGGGCGCAAGCCUGAUGCAGCCAUGCCGCGUGUAUGAAGAAGGCCUUCGGGUUGUAAAGUACUUUCAGCGGGGAGGAAGGGAGUAAAGUUAAUACCUUUGCUCAUUGACGUUACCCGCAGAAGAAGCACCGGCUAACUCCGUG